rnacentral:rRNA from 1 species
UUUAUGUUCAGUCUAUAAAGCACUAGAUGGAUGCCUAUAAACUGUGGUUGAAGAUGUAAAUAUAAAUACAAAAUUUGUGUGUAAGCUUUAGUUUGAUAUAUAAAAAUGCUUUUAAUACACAAUUCUCUUUAAAGAUUUUAUGAAGCGAAACAUCGUAGUAAUAAAUAUAAAAAAUAAGUCAAUAGAGAUGUUAAAGUAACGGUGAGUGAAAGAAAGUAGCUAUAAAACUAAAUAAAAGACUUGAAUAAUUUGGAAAAGUUAACUAAAGAAGGUGAUAGUCCUGUAAGGUUUU